rnacentral:rRNA from 1 species
AGGAGCUUGCUUCUCUGGAUGAGUUGCGAACGGGUGAGUAACGCGUAGGUAACCUGCCUGGUAGCGGGGGAUAACUAUUGGAAACGAUAGCUAAUACCGCAUAAUAGCAGUUGUUGCAUGACAGCUGUUUGAAAGGUGCAAUUGCACCACUACCAGAUGGACCUGCGUUGUAUUAGCUAGUUGGUGGGGUAACGGCUCACCAAGGCGACGAUACAUAGCCGACCUGAGAGGGUGAUCGGCCACACUGGGACUGAGACACGGCCCAGACUCCUACGGGAGGCAGCAGUAGGGAAUCUUCGGCAAUGGACGGAAGUCUGACCGAGCAACGCCGCGUGAGUGAAGAAGGUUUUCGGAUCGUAAAGCUCUGUUGUAAGAGAAGAACGAGUGUGAGAGUGGAAAGUUCACACUGUGACGGUAUCUUACCAGAAAGGGACGGCUAACUACGUGCCAGCAGCCGCGGUAAUACGUAGGUCCCGAGCGUUGUCCGGAUUUAUUGGGCGUAAAGCGAGCGCAGGCGGUUAGAUAAGUCUGAAGUUAAAGGCUGUGGCUUAACCAUAGUACGCUUUGGAAACUGUUUAACUUGAGUGCAAGAGGGGAGAGUGGAAUUCCAUGUGUAGCGGUGAAAUGCGUAGAUAUAUGGAGGAACACCGGUGGCGAAAGCGGCUCUCUGGCUUGUAAC